AAAAAGGUAAGCUAAUAAAGCUCUUGGGUUCAUACCCCAAUUAUAAAGGUCUAACCCUUUUCUUUUU
rnacentral:tRNA from 1 species